CGGGGGAAAGAUUUAUCGCCUUUAGAGCGGCCCGCGUCUGAUUAGCUAGUUGGUGAGGUAAAGGCUCACCAAGGCGACGAUCAGUAGCUGGUCUGAGAGGAUGAUCAGCCACAUUGGGACUGAGACACGGCCCAAACUCCUACGGGAGGCAGCAGUGGGGAAUCUUGCGCAAUGGGCGAAAGCCUGACGCAGCCAUGCCGCGUGAAUGAUGAAGGUCUUAGGAUUGUAAAAUUCUUUCACCGGGGACGAUAAUGACGGUACCCGGAGAAGAAGCCCCGGCUAACUUCGUGCCAGCAGCCGCGGUAAUACGAAGGGGGCUAGCGUUGCUCGGAAUUACUGGGCGUAAAGGGAGCGUAGGCGGACAUUUAAGUCAGGGGUGAAAUCCCGGGGCUCAACCUCGGAAUUGCCUUUGAUACUGGGUGUCUUGAGUAUGAGAGAGGUGUGUGGAACUCCGAGUGUAGAGGUGAAAUUCGUAGAUAUUCGGAAGAACACCAGUGGCGAAGGCGACACACUGGCUCAUUACUGACGCUGAGGCUCGAAAGCGUGGGGAGCAAACAGGAUUAGAUACCCUGGUAGUCCACGCCGUAAACGAUGAUUGCUAGUUGUCGGGAUGCAUGCAUUUCGGUGACGCAGCUAACGCAUUAAGCAAUCCGCCUGGGGAGUAC
rnacentral:rRNA from 1 species